AUUGAACGCUGGCGGCAGGCCUAACACAUGCAAGUCGAACGAGUGGCGGACGGGUGAGUAAUGUCUGGGAAACUGCCUGAUGGAUGGGGAUAACUACUGGCAACGGUAGCUAAUACCGCAUACCAUCGGAUGUGCCCAGAUGGGAUUAGCUAGUAGGUGGGGUAACGGCUAACCUAGGCGACGAUGCCUAGCUGGUCUGAGAGGAUGAACAGCAACACUGGAACUGAGACACGGUCCAGACUCCUACGGGAGGCAGCAGUGGCGAAUAUUGCACAAUGUGCGCAAGACUGAUGCAGCCAUGCCGCGUGUAUGAAGAAGGCCUUCGGGUUGUAAAGUACUUUCAGCGGGGAGGCGUUACCCGCAGAAGAAGCACCGGCUAACUACGUGCCAGCAGCCGCGGUAAUAC
rnacentral:rRNA from 1 species